AGUGAACGCUGGCGGUAGGCCUAACACAUGCAAGUCGAACGGCAGCACAGUAAGAGCUUGCUCUUACGGGUGGCGAGUGGCGGACGGGUGAGGUAUACAUCGGAAUCUACUUUUUCGUGGGGGAUAACGUAGGGAAACUUACGCUAAUACCGCAUACGACCUACGGGUGAAAGCAGGGGAUCUUCGGACCUUGCGCGAUUGAAUGAGCCGAUGUCGGAUUAGCUAGUUGGCGGGUUAAAGGCCCACCAAGGCGACGAUCCGUAGCUGGUCUGAGAGGAUGGUCAGCGACACUGGAACUGAGACACGGUCCUGACUCCUAAGGGAGGCAGCAGUGGGGAAUAUUGGACAAUGGGCGCAAGCCUGAUCCAGCCAUACCGCGUGGGUGAAGAAGGCCUUCGGGUUGUAAAGCCCUUUUGUUGGGAAAGAAAAGCAGCAGGUUAAUACCCCGCUGUUCUGACGGUACCCAAAGAAUAAGCACCGGCUAACUUCGUG
rnacentral:rRNA from 1 species